UACCCCGAGUGUCUGGGCGAAACCUGAAGAGUUCCCAGGUAUGGAGCUAUCCCGAGCAUUGGGGCGAAACCUGAAGAGUUCCCAGGUAUGGAGCUACCCCGAGUGUCUGGGCGAAACCAGAAGAGUUCCCAGGUAUGGAGCUAUCCCGAGCAUGGGGGCGAAACCUGAAGAGUUCCCAGGUAUGGAGCUACCCCGAGCGUCUGGACGAAACCUGAAGCGUUCCCAGGUAUGGAGCUACCCCAAG